rnacentral:rRNA from 1 species
UACAGAGGGGGCAAGCGUUGUUCGGAAUUACUGGGCGUAAAGGGCGCGUAGGCGGCCUUCUAAGUCGAACGUGAAAUCCCCGGGCUCAACCCGGGAACUGCGUCCGAUACUGGAAGGCUUGAAUUCGGGAGAGGGAUGCGGAAUUCCAGGUGUAGCGGUGAAAUGCGUAGAUAUCUGGAGGAACACCGGUGGCGAAGGCGGCAUCCUGGACCGGCAUUGACGCUGAGGCGCGAAAGCGUGGGGAGCAAACAGG